GAUGAACGCUGGCGGCGUGCCUAACACAUACAAGUCGAACGAAGCGCUUAGGUGGAAUUUUUUCGGAAAGGAAGCCUCUGUGACUGAGUGGCGGACGGGUGAGUAACGCGUGGACAACCUACCCCGCACUGGGGGACAACAGCCGGAAACGGCUGCUAAUACCGCAUAUGCGCACAGCCCCACAUGGGGCGGUGCGGAAAGCCUUGUGCGGUGCGGGAUGGGUCCGCGUCUGAUUAGCUGGUUGGCGGGGUAACGGCCCACCAAGGCGACGAUCAGUAGCCGGCCUGAGAGGGUGGACGGCCACAUUGGGACUGAGACACGGCCCAGACUCCUACGGGAGGCAGCAGUGGGGGAUAUUGCACAAUGGGGGCAACCCUGAUGCAGCGACGCCGCGUGAGCGAUGGAGUACUCCGGUAUGUAAAGCUCUGUCAGCAGGGAAGAGAAUGACGGUACCUGACCAAGAAGCCCCGGCUAAAUACGUGCCAGCCGCCGCAGUAAUAC
rnacentral:rRNA from 1 species